UUCCCAUCUCUGUGUUACAUCACUGGGUCACACACACAUUCUAGAUUCCAAUACAGAAAGGACCAUAGGCACUGGUUCAUUUCCUGCAUUGUGAAUUGAGACAGAACCAGAUUCUAAGUAAAUUAUCUUUCUUUUGUAUAUAAUUGAAAUUUAGCUUCAGGAUCAAUAUUCUUUAAACAUGGUACAAGGGAGGAUGACCAGCAGCCGCAAUGUUAGGGCAAGGGAAAUCAUGACUAGAGUCCUCUCAGAUAAACACUAGAAUGUUCACGCCGCAGUCUCUUAGUGCCUGUCUUAUGCAGAGUCCAUCCUCCGAGUCAGGAUUCAAAGGGAAGCAAGGUAAGCUUGAUCUCUACCUUCCUGGAAGUUACAUUCUAGAGGGGAGAUGGACCAUAAAGAGCCAACACGAUGUAAACUAGAAGACUGGGGAUGUCAACUAGAAGACUGGGGAUCCUGAUAUUUCAAUCAAGAAAAUAAAACUGGGCAAUACGAUGGAUUAGCCAGAUGGAAGGCACAGUCGGGUCAGACUGGACUGCCAGGGAAGGUCUCACUGACGCGGUGACACUGAAUGGAGACCAGGAGGACAAGAAGCCAACCAUCUGGAGAUUUGGGGGAGAGGGAAUACGGGAAACACAUGGGCCUGGAGGGCGAAGUGACCCUGGCCCUUCCUAGAGGCAGGCUGACGGGGCUGGAGAGUAGAAUGAAGAGUGUGCUGACAGGUGAGGCAGGAGAUGUGGGUGCACACCAGAGUGUCUGCGGAUUUGGAAUCAGCUUCCAGAGUCCAGGAAGGAGUCGACACGUAGUACUCCCGGCAAGAGAAAAUGGCAGGUUAGACUCGCGGUAGUAACGCAGAUAGAAAGCAAUGGCUGGCUUUAUGAGAUAUUUUAGAAGGAACUAUAUAACUCAUUGAGUGACUAGAUGUAGACAGUGAGGGAAAGAGAGAAAUCAAGGAUGACUCAGGCUGUUUAACUUGAUUAGCUAGCUGAAUGGAACGUGGUGCCAUUUAGGAAGAUGGAGAAAACCGCAGACGAGCAAGUCAGGAGGAAAAACCGAGUUCUGCACUGGCCUCAUUCGGUGUGAGACGCCUUUAAACCAGUGGUCCUCAAAGGAGGGUAUUUUUGCUUCCAAGGGCAGAGUAGGGAAUGUCGAGAGACAUUUUUGGUUAUCACAACUGGGAUAGGGAGAUGUCACCAGUAGGUAAGGCUAGUGGGGAGAUGUCACUAAACACACUGCAAUGCACGGGACAGCCUCCCACAGCAAAGAGCUACGCAGUCCAUGUCAUCAAGACCGAGUUUGGGAAACCCUGCUUCAGACAAUCCACGGAGAUGUCAUGAAGGCCGCUGGAGCAACGUGUGUCUGGAACUCAAAGAGAAGUCAGCAUUACAAGCAUACAUCUGUUUUUUCUCAACAGCUUGUUUUUCUUGUGUUGC